UACGUAGGCAGCGAGCGUUGUUCGGAAUUACUGGGCGUAAAGAGUGCGUAGGCGGUGCUCUAAGUUUGGUGUGAAAUCUCCCGGCUUAACCGGGAGGGUGCGCCGAAGACUGGAGUGCUUGAGUGUGGGAGAGGAAAGCGGAAUUCCUGGUGUAGCGGUGAAAUGCGUAGAUAUCAGGAGGAACACCUGCGGUGUAGACAGCUUUCGGGACCACGACUGACGCUGAGGCACGAACGCGUGGGUAGAAAACAGG
rnacentral:rRNA from 1 species